rnacentral:tRNA from 1 species
GCUGGGGUAGGCAAAUUGGUAAAGCCGCGCGCCUCAAAAGCGCGUGUAUGUGGGUUCGAAUCCCACCCUCAGCA